rnacentral:tRNA from 2 species
GCGGGAGUAACUCAGUGGUAGAGUGCCACCUUGCCAAGGUGGACGUCGAGGGUUCAAAUCCCUUCUCCCGCUCCA